UAUAUAUUAGAACUUAUUUCAGCAUGUAGUGAUUGCAGUGGCAUGUUUCUGACCAAGUGUUCUCAGCAUAUCAAUAGUUUAAACUUUCAAAUUAGGGGUUGGUUCUGGUAUUUCAGUACUGUAAAAAUUAACUGCUUUAUUGCAAUUAUCACUUCUUUUGGUAAUUCCCAUUCCUGGCCCGAACAUUUUGUCUGCUUCACUAUAGAAACUGACAAUUCAAAUGUGAGUGAAGAAAACUAGCGGUCACUAAAAAAAAAAACAAUAUACAGUAUUUUGAUGCUAUGCUGGAAAAUCUGGCUAUAGUUAAAGACCACUGUCCUGGAUCCACUGAACUGAGACCCAGGUGUUGGGGAAGGAAAAAAAAUGCUAUAAAUACUUUUGAUUCUCCACACUUCAUCCCUGCGAUUAGAAAUCCCCUAAGGCAUCUGCUUAACACUUUGAAAAAUUCAAUAAUUGAUACCCACAAACCAUGACAAGACUAUGGGGGGCAUUUUCAGGCAUCUGCUUCCAACGUUUGCAUUUUGAUUAGAUGAAGGCAGUUWAGCGAAGCCACUAUAAGGUCAAGCUGAGGUCUUGAAGAUUUUAGAGAMAAUAAGAUGGACUUUUGUUCCAUGCAUUCAGAUCUUUUAAUUAGAAAUGUGUGGAUGAAUGGAGAGGAAUGUCACUGCAUCAACAAUGUGAGUUGAUGCAUAUCCAUAUAAAAAUGUGUAGUGAAAUGCACAUAAUGUAUUAUUCGGAGUAACAUCUGUAAAAUUGCAAUUGUAGCGUAUUUUUCUGAAGCCUGUAACCUCAGGAGGCUUGUUGCAUCACUGUUGUGUUUGUUUUAAAGCUCUCUAAGACACGAACAGCAGGAUUUAUCUCCCACCUCUCCCCCCUCAGGCCCUGAGUCACCGCUGUAUUUUGGCCUCAUGAGAUACCUAAUCUGAUUUSAAGCAGCUUUCCAGAAUUAAAAGAAGAAGAAUGCCACAGGCUCCCUGGUUUCUCUGGCUCUGAAGGGGGCGUGGUUUCCUGACACUGGCAGGAUGAUGUUUSAUGAUGAUGAGAGCAAAUGGGCUUUAAUGUGACACGCUUCACUCCUCUUCAUCACCUGCAAGUGUGGAAGAGAAGAUCGGUUUUAUGGGUCACUGGUGCCCAUAUCCAGCAGUCACUGUGCAAGAGG